rnacentral:rRNA from 1 species
AUUUAGAGGAAGUAAAAGUCGUAACAAGGUUUCCGUAGGUGAACCUGCGGAAGGAUCAUUAAAUAAUCAAUAAUUUUGGCUUGUCCAUCAUUAUCUAUUUACUGUGAAACGUAUUAUUACUUGACGCCUGAGGGAUGUUCCACUGCUAUAAGGAUAGGCAGCGGAAAUGUUAACCGAGUCAUAAUCAAGCUUAGGCUUGGUAUCCUAUUAUUAUUUACCAAAAGAAUUCAGAAUUAAUAUUGUAACAUAGACGUAAAAAAUCUAUAAAACAACUUUUAACAACGGAUCUCUUGGUUCUCGCAUCGAUGAAGAACGUAGCAAAGUGCGAUAACUAGUGUGAAUUGCAUAUUCAGUGAAUCAUCGAGUCUUUGAACGCAACUUGCGCUCAUUGGUAUUCCAAUGAGCACGCCUGUUUCAGUAUCAAAACAAACCCUCUAUCCAACUUUUGUUGAAUAGGAUGACUGAGAGUCUCUUGAUCGUCAGAUCUCGAACCUCUUGAAAUGUACAAAGGCCUGAUCUUGUUUGAUGCCUGAACUUUUUUUUAAUAUAAAGAGAAGCUCUUGCGGUAAACUGUGCUGGGGCCUCCCAAAUAACACUUUUUUAAAUUUGAUCUGAAAUCAGGUGGGAUUACCCGCUGAACUUAAGCAUAUCAAUAAGCGGAGGA